rnacentral:rRNA from 1 species
AUUGAACGCUGGCGGCAGGCCUAACACAUGCAAGUCGAACGAGUGGCGGACGGGUGAGUAAUGUCUGGGAAAGUGCCUGAUGGAGGGGGAUAACUACUGGAAAGGGUAGCUAAUACCGCAUACCAUCAGAUGUGCCCAGAUGGGAUUAGAUAGUUGGUGGGGUAACGGCUCACCAGGGCGACGAUCCCUAGCUGGUCUGAGAGGAUGACCAGCCACACUGGAACUGAGACACGGUCCAGACUCCGACGGGAGGCAGCAGUGGGGAAUAUUGGACAAUGGGCGAAAGCCUGAUGCAGUCAUGCCGCGUGUAUGAAGAAGGCCUUCGGGUUGUAAAGUACUUUCAGCGGGGAAGCGUUACCCGCAGAAGAAGCACCGGCUAACUCCGUGCCAGCCGCCGCGGUAAUUC